rnacentral:snRNA from 1 species
GGAUGUGAGGGCAAUCUGGCUGUGGCAUUUGUCACCCCAUUGAUCGCCAGGGUUUUCAGCUGUUCUGGCUGGCUAGGUGGGUAUCCUAUUUCUCCUUUACUGCUCCAUGUGCAUCCCUCCCAAAGCUGCACACUUGAUCAAAGAAGAUGGCCUUCCCUGAAUAGAGAUGGACUGGUCUUCGGUCAAGGGUAUACGAGUAGCUGCGCUCCCCUACUAGAACCACCAGACAAGCUCUCAAGAAGUUAUGGGGGUGCCAUGGUGGCACACCUGGUUGAGCGCACAUAUUAUAAUGUGCAAGGACCCAGAUUUGAGCCCCUGGUCCCCAUUUGCA